AGAUUGAACGCUGGCGGCAUGCCUUACACAUGCAAGUCGAACGCGAAAGGGGGGGCAACCCCCGAGUAGAGUGGCGAACGGGUGAGUAAUACAUCGGAACGUAUCCAGUAGCGGGGGGAUAACCUCUCGAAAGAGAGGCUAAUACCGCAUACGACCUACGGGUGAAAGAGGGGGAUCGCAAGACCUCUCACUAUUGGAGCGGCCGAUGUCGGAUUAGCUAGUUGGCGGGUAACGGCCCACCAAGGCUACGAUCCGUAGCUGGUCUGAGAGGACGACCAGCCACACUGGAACUGAGACACGGUCCAGACUCCUACGGGAGGCAGCAGUGGGGAAUUUGGACAAUGGGCGCAAGGCCUGAUCCAGCCAUGCCGCGUGACGUGAAGAGGUCCGUUCGGGUUAGUAAGUCGUCUUUCGGCUGGACG
rnacentral:rRNA from 1 species